rnacentral:lncRNA from 1 species
UUCGGACCUUGAAUCAACAGCAGAAUAUCUUAGGAAUUACACCAAAAAGAUCUUCAAUGUUCAUACUAGCGAUGGCCUCAUAGAAGCAAAUGAAUCGUCACUUCAUCAACAAGGAUUUAUAAACUGCACUAAAGGACACAUUUCCGUAAAUGGAGUUUGCGUUGAAUGUCCAGCUGGAACUUACAAGAGAAGCAACAUGUGUGUAUUCUGUCCAAAAGGAAGUUUUCAAAUGUUAACAGGGCAAACAACAUGUAUUAUUUGUCCACUAGGUCAAACAACUCGUACUCCUAGAUCUCUUGAUGAAGGGCAAUGUUUCGAACUUCAGUUAUCUGGUCAUUGUUGGGUUUAAUGUCGCACCGACGAUUAUAGAUCAUGUAGCGACUUUUCAGGAAAGCUACAGGUGCCUAUAUAGGCAUUAUUUCAGGCAUGGGCGGGUACCGUGGUGGAACCACUGAUCUAGAUAAGUACCUGAAAACAAUAAUACACCCCAAUCGAGGUUUUGAACCUACAGUGGUGAGUGGCAAAUUAUUUGAAAUCUGCGACCUUAUCCACUUGGCCAUGAAUCCCCAGUGUCACAAUAAAGCUAUUUUACUAGAACAAAAAUCAUGAAAAAAAUAAAACUCUAGAAGCCAUAUUGUCUAUCUGAUCUUUAUCAUGAAACUUUCAGUCAGAAUGGUGACUAUAUAACUUUUAGGUCUAGUUGAAAAUUGUACAAUCUGGGAUCAAAAACUAGGUCUCUAGAUCAGAUCAAAGUGCAUUUGUAAACAUUUUAAGAGUCUAUAGGUCAUAUAUUCUACUAGUAAAUGAAACCUUGUCAAUAUUUGUCUUAGCGAAAUCUAGGCCAAGUAAGAAACAGUUUCAUCUACGAUUGAAAACAAGCUCACUAGGUUAAAAUCAUAGAAACAUCUUGUCGACAGUCUAGGGGCCUGUACUCAGCGUCUAUGUUUGUCGUAAUGAAAUCUUGGCUUCUGUCUGAUUUGUUUGAAGAAUGGAUGAAAUAUUUAUCCCUACAAAAUCCACAAAAUGUUUAAAACUUUUGUCAAGGGCAAACAAGAUAAAACAGGGCCCAUCAAGUCCUUCUUGUUUCAACUGUUAUGUAAAAUGCUUAAAGAUAAACAAUUACUUUUACAAAGUCUGUAUAUCAAAUGUUUAUUUUUUUUAUUUUCCAUUUGAAGAAGACAGUGGAGAUAACAUGGAGGACCCGUUAAUUAAAGGUAAAAGCAUUGCGAUAAUAAUUGGUCCAGUCGUAUCGCUUGCCGUGGGCAUACCUACAUUUGUAGCGGGUGUUUUGCAAAUAAGAAAAUACUGUAAAAAAAGGAAUAGUCUGGCAAGCAGACAGGACGAUCGCCCCUUUGUUGUCUACAUGUACCAUGAGUGGGACAUCUAAACAGGGGAAGAAAGUCCGAGACCACCCCCUUACAGCGAGUUCUAGGUCGAUUUAUAAUGAUUUCAUUACACUUUUGUGACAGUAAUAAUAUAACAAUGAAAAGCAACAGAAUUGUGGUCUAGGUUAAGGAAGUUCUGCACCAUUGAUAAACCGGAAGUAAUGGCGCAGAGUCAUUAAUCCGAAUAACGUAGAAUAAACCCUUGUCUCAGCAUACGGAAAUGAAAUCAUUUUAUUAGUUAAUGGCAAUCCAUGAAAUGGCAACAUUACUUUCUUUUUAAGAUAAAAUAUGAUACUAAAACGCAGCCAUAAGUCCAAAUAACGUCUUAAAAAUCAGAUUUUUUUUCAUCAUGGGCAAAGAAGCAUAAAAAUACACGGACAAAACCAUUUUAUUCUUGACCACUAGACUGGCGUUUCAUUUGAUUUUAUUUAUGCCGGCAAAUAUCUGGCACCUCAAUUCCAGAUGACACUUGUGUUGUUAAUGACAACUUACGACUGACUAUCAUUUAUAUAAAAUUCGAUAAAAAUCACACACCUUGAUGGUUUAACUUCUAUAUUUUAAAGUUCUCAACUCAAGAAUAGUUAUGUUACAUAAAAAUGUAACAGUACUCUAUACAGUAAAUGAUUAAACUGAACCAGAAUUGUGUUAUUGUGCGUCUUUGAAACGUCAUGACGUCAUUUCUGUUUACGGACUUUAAUUUCCUGAGCAGUGUUUAAAUACGUUUCAGUUAGAAAGAGUACAACAAAGAAAGCAAUUCUUUUUGCUUUAUUUAUUCUGUAAGCUUAUCUGUAGAUUUAAAAAUACAUCAUGAAAGAAAAAUAAUCUACCACGGGUUGUAGAUGCAGAGCCUUAUUACCACCAAACAUUACCGUCAACCCGGAUAUUACUAUCUGCAUCUACAACCAGCGAUAGGUUGCAAUAUUUCAUCAUAUUACAGACCAUAAUUAUGUUUAUUUUCAAUUUUGAGAAGUUUCAGGAAACUGAAAAAAAAUUGUUCGCGAAAAUGUUAUCAAUCUGUAAUUUUCCCAUACACUUCCAUUAUGAAAACUGCGUAAGGUUCAGAUUUUCAAAUUAGUCUAGCACACGACCAUAUGUUUCCUUAUUUGACGGAUUUUCUUAGUAUAUUAUGAAGUUUUGAGAAACCGUACUGUAAUCAAAUUCUACAAUGUAGAAAGAACUUUGAUCCAAGCGUGCAGAACUACCUUAAGGUGAUGAUUUUACAAUAUGUGGUUUUCAGUUAGUUUUAUUCUUUUACGAGAAUACAAAAAAAAACGAGCUCAAUCAAGUGUUGUGAGUGCUUGGAUUGACGAUCUAUGGUGUCGUUGUUUGAAUAGGUAUCUCUCGUCUAUAAAGAUAGAACCUAAAUUUUUCAAAGAAAGGAAUACAUCAAAUAAAGUCUAGGAUUUUUUUGCUAAAUCCUUUGAUUAAGCAAAUAUGAUUUUACAAAUGUGAACUUAAUGAAAGUUUUUGUACCACUAACUGAGAUUUUGUUAUUUGAUUUACACCUGUGGUUGCAAAGAAUGGCAAAUGUUGCCCCAGAGAAGUACUUAGUAAUACAGUCAUAGAUAUUUAUUAUUUCAUUUCCGUUGCAAAGCAGAGCGGAUUGAAAGCGAUUUUAGAAACAAUAUCAUAUUUUUUCACAUCAAAGACAAUUAUGAUAUAUUCGUAUUUGCCCUUGUUAAACUGCUUCAGAUGUUUUGUCACCUUUUCUAUGAUAAAAAUUUGACAAUCCGGUAAUAAAAUUACUGUGUAUCUUAUAAUGAAGAGACCACAGUCUUAUCAAAAUGUCAAAUUUAUGAACAGGUGCUGUAAUACAUGACAGGUAGAAUAUAUAAGAGUGUAAUUGUAUUAGUCUAUGCUUAUAAAGUCUAUCCAAAUAACGAGACGUACGCCGACUGUAGUGUGGUGGAGCAUCUCAAAGUAUUCUUUCAAAUCGGACUGGCGUUUCCGGGCGGCAAACCCAUCUGGUACCCUAUGCCAGAUGACGCUCUUUCUGUUUAACGAUUCAUGCAUUAAACAUAUACGGCAUAUUGUAUACGUCAAAUUCGCUAAAUUAAAAAUAAAAUACUUUGUUCCUUUUAGAUUUGUUUUCUACCUAAAACACAGUUAUUUUACGGAAAAAUACGUUACGCUACAAAUGAUAAACCUAGACCGAAACUUUCUUGAUGUCCGUCUUUAAUACGUCGUGACAACAUUUUUGUUUCUGGACGAGACUUUCCUGGUGCUUUUGUUAAAAUACUCUAAUAUAGGAAAAAGUGCUACAAAAAGUUUGUGUUUUUUUGGGGUUUUUUUUUCGCUUUAAUUACUGUAGAAUUUGUAAUAUAUGGUAAAUAAUCUAUUCUAGAUGCAGAGCCUCAUUUCCGCCGAAAACAGUUUCCCUCGAACCGGAUCUGCAACCAGUGACAUAUUAUUAUAUUAUUAUUCAACCGAUGUUUAAGACCAAGGAAAAGUAUAAAAGUUUAUUUCUGAUGCUGUCGUAGUUAUAUUAAUGCCACGGCUUAUUUUACACCGAUCUAGUGGGCAAUCUGAUUUGUACAUGUGAUUGAAACUUUUUUGUAGUAAAAUUGUGCACUAUUUUUGGCAUAUUGAAAGCACUACAUUACAUGGAAGAGAAUUAAUGACUGCAGUGUGCUAUUUUAAGUAGUAUGUACCUCGGAAUUUCUAGAUAUGUAAAUCUAGAUUUCGACAUACCUAUCUUUAGCUUUAAACUCAAACUGAAUACAUUACAACAUUUCCAAUAGCCCGUUAUUUCGAAUGCAAUGACUACAUUUGGACUGACGCUUCUAACUUAAAAAAAUUCGAAUAACGUAAGUCGAAGUAUCGAAUUUAAUAAACAUAAGUCGAAUUUCCGGUAAGUUAAGUCGAAAUAUCAAGCAACGUCUCUCAAUUUUUUGCGUUAUUGACUUCAAACAAUAAUACGCAGCUAGCAAUAAGGGUCUUCCGUAGAAUAACCCUUUCUGCAGGCUGGAAAUUAUACAAUUACAAACUGUAAUCGAAAAUGUGCAUUAUUUCAGUAGUUUAAUAUGUGAAGUCAAAACAACAAAGAAUCUAUUUACAAAAAAAUUCCUAAAAACAAGAUAAUGAUAAAAGUCAUAAAAGUCAUAAACACAUACGUAUUUUUACACAGAUGUACAGCAUUAUUCAAACGAACCGAAAUUAGUAUAUAUAACUUUGGAACGUUUUAGUGGCUCCAAAAACUCUCCGCACUCAAAAGGUAAACAAGUAAAAUGGUGCUAUGUUUUCAAUUAAAGUUGCUCAUCUACCUGAUUUAUUUUCUAUAAAGUAGCAUAAAAAGUGUUUCCGACCAGAAACUUUUACGACAAUGAUGUAUCUAGAUACAACUGAGAAACUGCCGACAUUUAUCGGCCAGUGACAUCAAAGUCAGCAUCGGGAUAAGCUAAUUAUACCUUUUUACAGUGUACAUAGCUUGAUUUAUUCUUUACAGUCAACCUGAAUGUAUAUAGGACAGUAACGACGUUAUCUUGUGAUAUUUCUAUUAGUUUUUGUGUGUUUUGUGCUGUAAGGCCGUCAAUCAGAUCUAUUAAAAUAUUGUUCCUUUGCACUGUCUGUUUUGAGAAAAAGUUUCAACCUGUAAUUAUUGUGUGAAGACAUUCGAGCUUUUGUGUCGUGCAGAGGAUCAUCUAAGUAUGCAAUACGUUUUUAUGAAGCACUGACACAGCUCAAUGUACCAUCAUUUUUUUCUCUUUUGCAUGAUAUAAAAGAUUAUUUAUAGAUUGUGUAGAUAAUGUACCUUCAUCUUUUUCUCUUUAUAUAAUAUAUAUAUAGAUAUUUUAUGAUAAUCCUAGAAUGUUAUUGCUAAUCAGUUCCGUUAUGAUUUGAUGAUGGGAGAUAUUUGAUGUUUUACUCGAUUAUUUUUGAUUGUGCGUAUUUGCGCUAGCUGUUUAUCUCAGUGUUUUAUUCUAAGUGAGUGCAGUGUUUAACUCUUGGAUAAUAGAUAACAAUCUAGUUUUAGAGUGUGUAAAGUAACAAUUGGUUGCUAUAAAAUGUGACAGUUAUUCAUACAUUAAUUUAGAUGUCUAUAUGUUGUUUUAAAGUAUCCUAUAAUUCAUUUAUAAAUGGUAAUGUACUUUUAAAAAUUAGUAAUAUGUAAAUUUUAAGUAUAUGUUUUAAUGUUUCAACGGGUUUUUAUUCUAUGUAUAUUUUACAUUGCUGAGACUAAAAUAAAUGAUAAAACCUAUGAAUUUA